UUUCGGCAAGGGGGUCAUCCCGACUUACCAACCCGAUGCAAACUGCGAAUACCGGAGAAUGUUAUCACGGGAGACACACGGCGGGUGCUAACGUCCGUCGUGAAGAGGGAAACAACCCAGACCGCCAGCUAAGGUCCCAAAGUCAUGGUUAAGUGGGAAACGAUGUGGGAAGGCCCAGACAGCCAGGAUGUUGGCUUAGAAGCAGCCAUCAUUUAAAGAAAGCGUAAUAGCUCACUGGUCGAGUCGGCCUGCGCGGAAGAUGUAACGGGGCUAAACCAUG
rnacentral:rRNA from 1 species